GACGAACGCUGGCGGCGUGCUUAACACAUGCAAGUCGAGCGGUAAGGCCCUUUCGGGGGUACACGAGCGGCGAACGGGUGAGUAACACGUGGGUGACCUGCCCUCAGCUCUGGGAUAAGCCUGGGAAACUGGGUCUAAUACUGGAUAUGACUCCACGGUGCAUGUCGUGGGGCGGAAAGCCUUGUGCGGCUGAGGAUGGGCCCGCGGCCUAUCAGCUUGUUGGUGGGGGAUGGCCUACCAAGGCGACGACGGGUAGCCGG
rnacentral:rRNA from 1 species